AGUACCGAAGUCUUCGAUUCCACACUGCCAAGAAAAGCCUCUAGCGAGAUGCAAGGUGCCCGUACCGCAAACCGACACAGGUAGGCGAGGAGAGAAUCCUAAGGUGAGCGAGUGAACUCUCGUUAAGGAACUCGGCAAAAUGACCCCGUAACUUCGGGAGAAGGGGUGCUCUGGUAGGGUGCAAGCCCGAGAGAGCCGCAGUGAAUAGGCCCAGGCGACUGUUUAGCAAAAACACAGGUCUCUGCAAAGCCGCAAGGCGACGUAUAGGGGCUGACGCCUGCCCGGUGCUGGAAGGUUAAGAGGAGGGCUCAGCCGCAAGGCGAAGGUCUGAAUUGAAGCCCCAGUAAACGGCGGCCGUAACUAUAACGGUCCUAAGGUAGCGAAAUUCCUUGUCGGGUAAGUUCCGACCCGCACGAAAGGCGCAACGAUCUGGGCACUGUCUCAACGAGAGACUCGGUGAAAUUAUAGUACCUGUGAAGAUGCAGGUUACCCGCGACAGGACGGAAAGACCCCGUGGAGCUUUACUGCAGCCUGAUAUUGAAUUUUGGCACAGUCUGCACAGGAUAGGCAGGAGCCUUGGAAGCCGGAGCGCCAGCUUCGGUGGAGGCGCUGGUGGGAUACUGCCCUGACUGUGUUGAAAUUCUAACCCGCACCCGUGAUCCGGGUGGGAGACAGUGUCAGGCGGGCAGUUUGACUGGGGCGGUCGCCUCCUAAAAUGUAACGGAGGCGCCCAAAGGUUCCCUCAGAAUGGUUGGAAAUCAUUCGCAGAGUGUAAAGGCACAAGGGAGCUUGACUGCGAGACCUACAAGUCGAGCAGGGACGAAAGUCGGGCUUAGUGAUCCGGUGGUUCCGCAUGGAAGGGCCAUCGCUCAACGGAUAAAAGCUACCCCGGGGAUAACAGGCUUAUCUCCCCCAAGAGUCCACAUCGACGGGGAGGUUUGGCACCUCGAUGUCGGCUCAUCGCAUCCUGGGGCUGUAGUCGGUCCCAAGGGUUGGGCUGUUCGCCCAUUAAAGCGGUACGCGAGCUGGGUUCAGAACGUCGUGAGACAGUUCGGUCCCUAUCCGUCGCGGGCGCAGGAAAUUUGAGAGGAGCUGUCCUUAGUACGAGAGGACCGGGAUGGACAUACCGCUGGUGUACCAGCUGUCUCGCCAGAGGCAUCGCUGGGUAGCUACGUAUGGACGGGAUAAGUGCUGAAAGCAUCUAAGCAUGAAGCCCCCCUCAAGAUGAGAUUUCCCAUUACGCAAGUAAGUAAGAUCCCUUGAAGAAGACGAGGUAGAUAGGUUCGGGGUGGAAGUGCGGCGACGCAUGGAGCUGACGAAUACUAAUCGAUCGAGGACUUAAUCAA
rnacentral:ncRNA from 2 species